rnacentral:rRNA from 1 species
CAGUAGCCGCGGUAACACGAGGGGGGCAAGCGUUGUUCGGAAUUAUUGGGCGUAAAGGGUGAGUAGGCGGUUUGGCAAGUUUGGUGUGAAAUCUUCGGGCUCAACUCGAAGUCUGCAUCGAAAACUGCCGGGCUUGAGUAUGGGAGAGGUGAGUGGAAUUUCCGGUGUAGCGGUGAAAUGCGUAGAUAUCGGAAGGAACACCUGUGGCGAAAGCGGCUCACUGGACCAUAACUGACGCUGAUGCACGAAAGCUAGGGGAGCAAACAGGAUUAGAGACCCCUGUAGUCCCUGUCUCUUAUAA